rnacentral:sRNA from 1 species
AGCAGCCGCGGUAAUUCCAGCUCCAAUAGCGUAUAUUAAAGUUGUUGCAGUUAAAAAGCUCGUAGUUGAAUUUCGGGGUUAGUAGGUUGGUCAUGCCUCUGGUAUGUACUGGUCUCACUGAUUCCUCCUUCCUGAUGAGCCGUAAUGCCAUUAAUUUGGUGUUGCGGGGAAUUUGGACUGUUACUUUGAAAAAAUUUAGAGUGUUUAAAGCAAGCUAACGCUUGAAUACAUUAGCAUGGAAUAAUGAAAUAGGACGUUCGAUCCUAUUUUGUUGGUUUCUAGGAUUGACGUAAUGAUUAAUAGGGAUAGUUGGGGGCAUUAGUAUUCAAUUGUCAGAGGUGAAAUUCUUGGAUUUAUUGAAGACUAACUACUGCGAAAGCAUUUGCCAAGGAUGUUUUCAUUAAUCAAGAACGAAAGUUAGGGGAUCGAAGACGAUCAGAUACCGUCGUAGUCUUAACCAUAAACUAUGCCGACUAGGGAUCGGAUGAUGUUAAUUUUUUAAUGACUCAUUCGGCGCCUU